rnacentral:piRNA from 1 species
UGAGAGAGUUCCGUAAGAGAUGCAUGCAGU